UACAGAGGGGGCAAGCGUUGUUCGGAAUUACUGGGCGUAAAGGGCUGGUAGGCGGCCAACUAAGUCGGAUGUGAAAUCCCCAGGCUUAACCUGGGAACUGCAUCCGAUACUGGUCGGCUUGAAUCCGGGAGAGGGAUGCAGAAUUCCAGGUGUAGCGGUGAAAUGCGUAGAUAUCUGGAGGAAUACCGGUGGCGAAGGCGGCAUCCUGGACCGGCAUUGACGCUGAGACGCGAAAGCGUGGGGAGCGAACAGG
rnacentral:rRNA from 1 species